rnacentral:rRNA from 1 species
AGAGUUUGAUCCUGGCUCAGGAUGAACGCUGGCGGCGUGCUUAACACAUGCAAGUCGAGCGAAGCACUUUUUUAGAACUCUUCGGAGGGAAGAGAGGGUGACUUAGCGGCGGACGGGUGAGUAACGCGUGGGCAACCUGCCUUACACAGGGGGAUAACAAUUAGAAAUGAUUGCUAAUACCGCAUAAGACCCCAGUACCGCAUGGUACAGGGGUAAAAACUGAGGUGGUGUAAGAUGGGCCUGCGUCUGAUUAGGUAGUUGGUGGGGUAGAAGCCUACCAAGCCGACGAUCAGUAGCCGACCUGAGAGGGCGACCGGCCGCAUUGGGACUGAGAUACGGCCCAGACUCCUACGGGAGGCAGCAGUCGGGAAUAUUGCGCAAUGGAGGAAACUCUGACGCAGUGACGCCGCGUAUAGGAAGAAGGUCUUCGGAUUGUAAACUAUUGUCGUUAGGGAAGAGAAAGGACAGUACCUAAGGAGGAAGCUCCGGCUAACUACGUGCCAGCAGCCGCGGUAAUACGUAGGGAGCGAGCGUUAUCCGGAUUUAUUGGGUGUAAAGGGUGCGUAGACGGGAAAAUAAGUUAGUUGUGAAAUCCCUCGGCUUAACUGAGGAACUGCAACUAAAACUAUUUUUCUUGAGUGCAGGAGAGGAAAGUGGAAUUCCUAGUGUAGCGGUGAAAUGCGUAGAUAUUAGGAGGAACACCAGUGGCGAAGGCGACUUUCUGGACUGUAACUGACGUUGAGGCACGAAAGUGUGGGGAGCAAACAGGAUUAGAUACCCUGGUAGUCCACACCGUAAACGAUGGAUACUAGGUGUAGGGAAUAUUAAGUUUUCUGUGCCGUCGCAAACGCAGUAAGUAUCCCACCUGGGGAGUACGGCCGCAAGGUUGAAACUCAAAGGAAUUGACGGGGGCCCGCACAAGCAGUGGAGUAUGUGGUUUAAUUCGAAGCAACGCGAAGAACCUUACCAGGGCUUGACAUAUACAGGAAUAUAUAAGAGAUUAUAUAGCUCUUCGGAGUCUGUAUACAGGUGGUGCAUGGUUGUCGUCAGCUCGUGUCGUGAGAUGUUGGGUUAAGUCCCGCAACGAGCGCAACCCCUGUUUCUAGUUGCCAGCAUGUAAAGAUGGGAACUCUAGAAAGACUGCCGGUGAUAAAUCGGAGGAAGGUGGGGAUGACGUCAAAUCAUCAUGCCCUUUAUGUCCUGGGCUACACACGUACUACAAUGGCUGUAACAGAGGGAAGCAACACAGUGAUGCGAAGCGAAACCCAAAAAGCAGUCACAGUUCGGAUUGAAGGCUGAAAUUCGCCUUCAUGAAGCCGGAAUUGCUAGUAAUGGCAGGUCAGCAUACUGCCGUGAAUACGAUGCCGGGCCUUGCACACACCGCCCGUCA